AAAGAACCCUCCCGUAGGUGAACCUGCGGAAGGAUCCUUU
rnacentral:rRNA from 1 species